rnacentral:rRNA from 1 species
AACGAACGCUAGCGGGAUGCCUUACACAUGCAAGUCGAACGGCGUGGCGAACGGGUGAGUAAUGUAUCGUAACGUGCCCAGUAGCGGGGGAUAACUACGCGAAAGCGUAGCUAAUACCGCAUACGUUUGGAGCGGCCGAAAUCGGAUUAGCUAGUUGGUGGGGUAACGGCUGACCAAGGCGACGAUCCGUAGCUGGUUUGAGAGGACGACCAGCCACACUGGGACUGAGACACGGCCCAGACUCCUACGGGAGGCAGCAGUGGGGAAUUGUGGACAAUGGGGGAAACCCUGAUCCAGCCAGCCCGCGUGUGCGAUGAAGGCCUUCGGGUUGUAAAGCACUUUUGGUAGGAAAGCGGUACCUGCAGAAUAAGCACCGGCUAACUACGUGCCAGCCGCCGCGGUAAUUC